GACGAACCGUGCGAACGUUAUUCGGAUUCACUGGGCUUAAAGGGUGCGUAGGCGGCGCGGUAAGUCGGGUGUGAAAUCUUGGAGCUUAACUCCGAAACUGCAUUCGAUACUGCCGUGCUUGAGGACUGGAGAGGAGACUGGAAUUUACGGUGUAGCGGUGAAAUGCGUAGAUAUCGUAAGGAAGACCAGUGGCGAAGGCGGGUCUCUGGACAGUUCCUGACGCUGAGGCACGAAGGCCAGGGGAGCAAACGGG
rnacentral:rRNA from 1 species